CCUACGGGUGGCAGCAGUGGGGAAUAUUGCACAAUGGGGGAAACCCUGAUGCAGCGACGCCGCGUGAAGGAAGAAGUAUUUCGGUAUGUAAACUUCUAUCAGCAGGGAAGAAAAUGACGGUACCUGACUAAGAAGCCCCGGCUAACGACGUGCCAGCAGCCGCGGUAAUACGCAGGGGGCAAGCGUGAUCCGGAUUUACUGGGUUUAAAGGGAGCGUAGGCGGUGCAGCAAGUCAGAAGUGAAAGCCCGGGGCUCAACUCCGGGACUGCUUUUGAAACUGUUGAACUAGAUUGCAGGAGAGGUCCGUUGCCUUCCUUGUGUCGCGGUUACC
rnacentral:rRNA from 1 species